ACGAAGGGGGCUAGCGUUGUUCGGAAUUACUGGGCGUAAAGCGCACGUAGGCGGCAUUCCAAGUUGGAGGUGAAAUCCCCGGGCUUAACCUGGGAACUGCCUCCAAAACUGGGAAGCUCGAGUCCGAGAGAGGUGAGUGGAAUUUCCAGUGUAGAGGUGAAAUUCGUAGAUAUUGGAAAGAACACCAGUGGCGAAGGCGGCUCACUGGCUCGGUACUGACGCUGAGGAGCGACAGCGUGGGGAGCAAACAGG
rnacentral:rRNA from 1 species